AGGUCCCAAGCGUUGUUCGGAUUCAUUGGGCGUAAAGGGGGCGUAGGUGGCGCCGUAAGUCGGGUGUGAAAUUUCGGAGCUUAACUCCGAAACUGCAUUCGAUACUGCGGUGCUUGAGGACUGGAGAGGAGACUGGAAUUCAUGGUGUAGCAGUGAAAUGCGUAGAGAUCAUGAGGAAGACCAGUGGCGAAGGCGGGUCUCUGGACAGUUCCUGACACUGAGGCACGAAGGCCAGGGGAGCAAACGGG
rnacentral:rRNA from 1 species